AGCCAUUAUUGAUGGCUACAAUUGAACUGCUCUGCUAUAUUGCAAUCUCUCUCUCUCUCACACCACUCUUCAUCUCCUCUACUUUUGCUCAUUUCACACAAAAAGGAAAGAAAAAGAAAUCAAAGCACACUAGCUAGCUACUUGGUAGAGAGGAAGAAAGAUGGCAAGCAUUCCACUAGAUUCUACAGUGGGAUUUCUCUUGCAGAAUUUGGAGGAGUUCAUUAAGUACAACGCUAAUUUGAUCGGUGGAGCAGAGGAUGGUUUCAAAUCGUUGUCCCAAGAACUUGGUUUCUUGAAGAGCUGUCUCCAGAAAUGCAUGGAAAAUUGCAGCGACGAUAGCAUUCUGGAGAGUUUAGCCGACAACGUUCGGAACUUGGUUCAUGAAGCUGAAGAUGCAAUUGAGACUUACAUCGUUCUGGCCUCGAAGCAAAGAGGAAGAACUUGGACGAAGAAAGCUCUUAACGUGGUUGAUCAUACAAUGGAAAUUCGAAAUUUGGCGAAGAAGAUCAAGAGCAUCAGCUCAAAGGUGGAGGAAUUUUACAAGAACAAACUGCAGUUCAUCGCAAGUCAAACCCCCCCAAGAACACCAGAAAGAGGAAUCAGAAAGCCUCCUAUUGAUGAUAUUGUUGUUGGCCUUGAAGAUGAGACAGAAAAAUUAAUUGAGCUUCUCACUGAAGGAACAGAGCAACUAGAGGUGAUAUCAAUUGUUGGUAUGCUUGGUUUGGGAAAGACCACAAUAGCUAAAAAGGUCUUUAAUCAUCCAACAAUUGAGUAUCAUUUCUCCAUCCGUACGUUUGUCGAAGUUUCUCAAGAUUAUAGGAAGAAUGAAAUGUUUCUGAAAAUUCUGCGUACUUUCACUCGGAUCACUGAUGAAAUGCGAAGCAUGUCAGAUGAUGAUUUGGCGAUAUUAAUUAGGCAGAAUUUGAAGAAAAGACAAUAUUUGAUAGUCUUGGAUGAUGUCUGGACUACACAAGCAUGGGAUGAUCUGAAGGAUGAUUUUCCAAACAGUGGCGUGGGUAGCAGAAUCUUGAUAACUACGCGAGAAAAACCUGUGGCAGAAUAUGCUAGGAAGAAGAUUGAUCCACAUUUUUUGCGUUUUCUCAAUCCAGAGGAGAGCCGGGAGUUAUUGAGAAGAAAGGUUUUUGGUGAGAAUACAUGUCCAACGGAUCUAGAGGAGCAUGAAGCACCUAUCCUACAAAGAUGCGGAGGACUACCAUUAUCUAUAGUGGUAGUUGCUGGUGUUCUCACAAAUAAUCGGUAUGAAGUUCGCUGGUGGAAGAAAGUAGCUGAGGGAGUGGAAAACUGUUCUCGUACGGCUGAAUUGCAAAUAGAUUACGUUAUAAACCUAAGCUUCAACAAUUUGCCUUACCGUGUGAAGCCAUGUUUUCUAUACCUAGGGGUUUUCCGUGAGGACUUUGAGAUUCCUGUGCGGACAUUGUUGCAAUUGUGGGUUUCAGAAGGUUUUAUACCCCCAAGUAAUGGGAAUAGAAGCUUGGAGGAUGUCGCAGAAGAUUAUCUAGAGGACAUGGUUGAUAGGAGUUUAGUGAUGGUGCUGGGGAGGAGAUCAAACGGUCAGCUUAAAGCGAUCCGGAUUCAUGACACAUUGCGUGACUUCUGCAAGAAUCAUGGCCGAAAGGAAAGUCUUUUUCGAGAGAUAAGGACGCUUGAACAGGCAACCAAUUCAUCUGGAAGCACAUCAUUUGACAAUGACCGUCGCCAUUGCGUUAAUUCUUAUGUUCUGGAUUAUGUAAAACAUCAACCUGCUGGAAAGCAUGUCCGCUCGCUCUUGACUUUUGCAAAGGAGGAAUUGAAUUUGCCCGUGGAAUAUCACACCUCUUUCAUUCCUAAAACCUGCGAACUGCUGAGGGUGUUGGAGGUUAGAAAGAUCAGGUUGAGUCGUUUCCCCUCUCAAGUUUUUAACCUUUAUCUUUUGAAGUAUAUUGCCAUCACCUGCGAUCUCAAGAUCCUUCCUAAAGAAAUAUCGAACCUGUGGAAUCUGCAAACUCUUAUUGUUAACACUUCAGCACCGAGCCUUGAUAUAAAAGCCGACCUGUGGAAGAUAGCACGAUUGAGGCAUCUAGACACGAAUGUGUCCACAUCUUUGCUGGCAAAGACCAAGGCAGAUUCCUCAAUUAAUAUAAAUAUACAGACUAUUUCCGCGCUCUCUCCCGUGAGUUGCCAGAAAGAAGUCUUCGAGAGGGCUCCAAUGCUCAAGAAAUUGGGUAUAUGUGGAAAGUUGGUACCUAUUAUGGAAGGUAACGCUGCAUCCAAUUUGUUUGGUAGUCUUCAGAAACUAGAAUUCCUUGAAAAUCUGAAACUGCUGAAUACUGAUACAACUGCCAAGUUACUUGUCCUUCCCAAUGAGAGCAACUUUCCGAGCAACCUCACAAAGCUGACUUUAUUAAAUACCAAGCUUGACUGGAAAUAUAUGUCUACAUUGGGAAAGCUGAAGAAGCUUGAGGUGCUAAAACUGAAAGAGAAUGCAUUUGAAGGAACCUCGUGGACAACAGAAAAUGGGGGUUUUCAACGACUGAAGGUUUUGCACAUUGGAAGCACAGAUUUAACUGUCUGGAAGGCUUCUGCAAGUCAUUUCCCAAAAUUGACGCACCUUUUCCUUAGGCAUUGCAUUAAGCUUGAGAAAAUUCCAUCUGGACUUGCAGAUAUUCCCACGCUGAAGCUGAUGGAUCUUUAUUGUAACGACAAAUCCGUGGCUCUAUCCGCUAGGGAACUUCAGCGGGCAAAACUUCAAGUGCUAGCCCAAGACAAGAACGCGAAAGAUAGUGUGUUCAAGCUCUCUAUUUAUCCUCCAGAGUUAUGAAAAGCUCAUAAUCAAUGCGGAGUGCUUAUUCUUCCUUGAUAGGUAAAGCCAUCUCUGCUUCACGGAAGAAACUUUCUCAUUGGAGAAUUUCUUUGCUUCUGGGUUCUGUUAUGAUCCAAUAAUAAAGAACAAUGCCAGAAUUUAGUUAUGACCGUUGUUUACAUGAAUUGGUGAUUGGAGAUGCAACGGGCUAAGAAAGUCCGUAGCAAAAAGAGAGAGAGAAAAGAUGCUGUUAGGGAAAGUGAAGUUUCAAUUGGUGAGUGCUCGAGCAACUUCACAUUCGCAGUGCAAAUGAUGAUUCACAUUCAUUGUAUUGGGCUGAAAUGAUUCAUGUGUGCUAUGGGGAUUUGUGGUUUUUUAUGUUUAGAAAUAGUUUUAAUUGGUACAUUUCAAGAAGCUGGAUUUCUUUCCCUUUUCUUUUGAACAUAUAAAAUUGUAUUUGUGAUUUAUUUUUGUUGUAUUUUGCUGCGCAUUAAUUUCUCAUACAUUUAUGAUUAUAAACGCAGGGUGAAUGUUUUGUCUCAACCGUUGUCCGACGUACAGUAAGUACUAUUUUUUUUGGGUAAAUGAAGCUGCACAGAUUUUUUAUAUUUCUUGAAUUUUUCUUAAAAUUUCAAAUUUGAAAAGCUAGAUUUUCAAAAUUAUGUAAUGUUGAGGUUUAGAAGUUUUCUUCACAAGACAUCGUAAAGAAGUUUUGAUUUUUUUUUUUUAAUUACGUGCUAUCACUCUCACCCUCGUCAAAUUCACCCAGAGUCAUCACGAGGGAAGUAAAUCAAGGAUGUGCCUGGGUGAUCAGGGUUUGAAACUACAUCUACUAGCACUUA